rnacentral:rRNA from 1 species
UACGUAGGGGGCAAGCGUUGUCCGGAUUUAUUGGGCGUAAAGAGCGUGUAGGCGGCCAAGCAGGUCCGCUGUGAAAACUCGAGGCUCAACCUCGAGACGUCGGUUGAAACCAUCUGGCUAGAGUCCGGAAGAGGAGUGUGGAAUUCCCGGUGUAGCGGUGAAAUGGCGCAGAUAUCGGGAAGAACACCCGUGGCGAAGGCGGCACUCUGGGACGGUACUGACGCGUGAGACGCGAAAGCGUGGGGAGCGAACGAGG